GGGACCACCUCACGGGAGAGGCCAGAUGGGAAGGUUAGUGGGCAGGAACAUCUGCUGCCGUGUGAGCGAACCGUCUUCCAUAUUCAGUCCUGUGGAGCCUUUUGAAACUCCAAGCCUGGGUCAGUAUCUGCUACAACUUGGUGUGAAGCAGCAGCUAGCCAGCCGGUCAAAGCCAGUCAGCCCUCCUCAAUGUUUAACCCAUGACCAGCAAAAUGAAUGGUUAUUUUUAGCUGCUGUUUGAAAGUUUUUGAUAAGUUAAAAUAGUAACCGGUUGGUUAACCGGUCGGCUUUCCUGUUCUGUCCUUGAAGUGGAGAAGUCUCUGCAACCGGAAUGGAAUGCUUAAACAAAUGUUUCGCGGAUGAGAAAUUCCAGACAUUUAUCCAUUAGUACCGAAGGCUCCUCCAAA
rnacentral:lncRNA from 1 species